AGAGCAUUCCUGUCCUCCAGGGAGCCAAGGUGGGAAGGUCCCUAAGGCAGAGGAGCGUGGGUGCUGACUGUCCUCUGCGGGACUGUACCAGCUCGAGGCACCUUCCCAUUGCCCAGCGACAUCUCCUGUUCUUACCUCUGCGUGCAGGGUCCUGCAUUCGUGGCAUUCCCACGUGGUGGCGAGACACCAGGAGAGGAUGAGGAGAGCCCAGAGCACAAGCUGAGGCUUUGCCCUUCGCAGUACUCAUAUGUGCAAAGCUCUGGGGAGCAGAUCCGGUGCCCAACGGCGGGAUCCAGGAAAGCCUCUGAGGCACAGAGGCUCCCAAGAUCGAUGUCCAGCAAAAGCCUCCUCCAGGAGCACAGGCAGCAGCAGCGCCGGCCAGCCAGGCUGUUACCGGCCGUGCUUCCGUCUGAUCAGCAAAGAGCUCUAUGCAAA